UAGCCGUAAACGAUACUCGCUAGGUGUCGGCCACGGUGCGACCGUUGUCGGUGCCGUAGGGAAGCCGUGAAGCGAGCCACCUGGGAAGUACGGCCGCAAGGCUGAAACUUAAAGGAAUUGGCGGGGGAGCACCGCAACGGGAGGAGCGUGCGGUUCAAUUGGAUUCAACGCCGGAAAUCUUACCGGGACCGACAGCAACAUGAAGGCCAAGCUGAAGACUUUGCCGGGUUAGCUGAGAGGUGGUGCAUGGCGUAGUCGUGU
rnacentral:rRNA from 1 species